AUGAGGUUAUACCCGAGUGUCCUCUCCCAGGUGCAGCUGGUCGAGUCCGGCCCGGGCGUCGUGAAGCCUGGACAGACCCUCACACUGACCUGCGCUGUCUCGGGUGUCUCCAUCACUGACAGCAGCUACGCGUGGAGCUGGGUCCGGCAGUCUCCCGGGAAAGGGCUGGAAUGGGUGGCACGUAUACAUCCGUACAACGGGAACAAGUGGUUUGCCGCGUCGCUCCAAAGCCGGACCACCAUCUCUUCGGAUACCUCCAAGAACCGGUUCUCCCUGCAGCUGGCCUCCCUCGCGGCUGCAGACACCGCCAUGUAUUACUGUGCCAGAGACACACAGUGA